rnacentral:misc_RNA from 1 species
CCCGGGUCGGUGAGGCGGGCCGCACGUGUGUUCCUCGGUUUCCUCGGUUCGCGAUGGUGGACGGGCCUUCUAGGGCGUGAUGGCGGUAAGGGCCGCCCUUCUGGUGACUGCCGUGACGCUUCUCACACCCGCAAGAGCCAACCCCGACGCCAAGAGGCUCUACGAUGAUCUCCUCUCCAACUACAACAGGCUUAUCAGACCCGUCAGCAACAAUACAGACACGGUCCUGGUCAAGCUCGGCCUGCGGCUCAGCCAGCUGAUAGAUCUGAACUUGAAAGACCAGAUUCUAACAACCAAUGUUUGGCUGGAACAUGAGUGGCAGGAUCACAAGUUCCGGUGGGACCCGGCGGAGUACGGCGGUGUCACGGAGCUCUACGUGCCCUCUGAACAUAUCUGGUUGCCGGACAUUGUGCUGUACAACAAUGCUGACGGCGAGUACGUAGUGACAACUAUGACCAAGGCUGUUCUACACCACACCGGCAAGGUACUCUGGACUCCACCCGCCAUCUUCAAGUCAUCCUGCGAGAUAGACGUGCGGUACUUCCCCUUCGACCAGCAGACCUGCUUCAUGAAGUUCGGCUCCUGGAGCUAUGACGGUGACCAGAUCGACUUGAAACAUAUCAAUCAAAAGCUGGGAGAGGACAAGGUAGAAGUCGGUAUCGAUCUGAGGGAAUACUACCCAAGUGUGGAAUGGGAUAUCUUGGGCGUGCCGGCAGAGAGGCAUGAGAAGUACUAUCCUUGCUGCAAUGAGCCGUAUCCAGAUAUUUUCUUCAACAUAACACUGCGCAGAAAGACUCUCUUCUAUACGGUAAAUCUGAUAGUUCCCUGUGUGGGGAUCUCGUACCUCUCGGUGCUAGUCUUCUACCUGCCGGCCGACUCCGGGGAGAAGAUCGCUCUCUGCAUCACCAUCCUCCUCUCGCAGACCAUGUUCUUCCUGCUGAUCUCAGAGAUCAUCCCUUCCACCUCGCUCGCACUGCCGUUGCUGGGCAAGUACCUGCUCUUCACCAUGCUGCUGGUGGGGCUCUGCGUCGUCAUCACCAUCAUGGUGCUCAACGUCCACUACAGGAAGCCGAGCACUCACAAGAUGGCGUCUUGGGUGAAGAAGAUCUUCAUCCGGAAGUUACCCAAACUUUUGCUCAUGCGUGUGCCUGACCAGCUUCUCGCUGAUCUGGCGCACAACAAGCGCGUCCAUCGCGACAACAAGAGGUCAAGGUUAAACGCUGCCAUUGCCGCCGCCAACUCCUCAGGGGCCUCGUCUCCUGACUCACUUAGACACUUCCCGCCCAGACCGGGGGGCUGCAACGGUCUCCAUACUUCGUCCGCGACCAACAGGUUCAGCGGACUUAUAGGAGCCCUGGGUGGACCGGGGUACAACGGACUGCCGUCCAUGGUCGGUCUGGACGACAGCAUCAGCGAUGUCGCCAUCAGGAAGAAGUACCCCUUCGAGUUGGAGAAGGCCAUCCAUAACGUGAAGUUCAUCCAGCAUCACAUGCAGAGACAGGACGAAUUUGACGCGGAGGACCAAGACUGGGGAUUUGUUGCGAUGGUCCUGGACCGCCUCUUCCUCUGGAUCUUCACGAUCGCUUCUUUCUUAGGCACGAUUCUAAUCCUGUGCGAGGCUCCCGCGCUGUACGAUGACACCCAACCCAUAGACGUCGAGAUCUCUCGAGUCUAUCGCAGGCAAUAUUUGCCCGAACUGGAUAUAAACUCCAAACUAUAAACGUAAAGUGUAGUGAUUCUGUCCACAAAACGUUGCAAAAUAACUGUUAAAAGUGUCCUAAAAACAAUAUUUUAUAUGAAUAAAGUUCUUUUACGGUUGUUAAAUAAUAAUAUGCUACUCGGUAAAACUAAAAUGCCAAGACGAGGAAGCGUGCCAAGCUCAGCUGUAAAACAAGUCGGUAGUUAAGGAAGACCAAGAUUGGGGCUUCGUCGCAAUGGUCUUGGACCGCCUCUUCCUGUGGAUCUUCACUAUCGCCUCCAUCGUGGGUACUUUCACGAUCCUCACAGAAGCCCCUUCCCUGUACGAUGACACUCAGCCUAUCGAC